GACGAACGCUGGCGGCGUGCUUAACACAUGCAAGUCGAACGGAAAGGCCUCUUUCGGGGGGUACUCGAGUGGCGAACGGGUGAGUAACACGUGAGUAACCUGCCCUUGACUUUGGGAUAACUUCAGGAAACUGGGGCUAAUACCGGAUAGGAGCUCCUGCUGCAUGGUGGGGGUUGGAAAGUUUCGGCGGUUGGGGAUGGACUCGCGGCUUAUCAGCUUGUUGGUGGGGUAGUGGCUUACCAAGGCUUUGACGGGUAGCCGGCCUGAGAGGGUGACCGGCCACAUUGGGACUGAGAUACGGCCCAGACUCCUACGGGAGGCAGCAGUGGGGAAUAUUGCACAAGGGGUGGAAGCCUGAUGCAGCAACGCCGUGUGCGGGAUGACGGCCUUCGGGUUGGAAACCGCUUUCGCUCAUGACGAAGCUUUGUGUGACGGUAGUGGGUAAAGAAGCACCGGCUAACUACGUG
rnacentral:rRNA from 1 species